rnacentral:rRNA from 1 species
GACAGAGGUUGCAAGCGUUGUUCGGAAUUACUGGGCGUAAAGGGCGUGUAGGCGGUGGAGUAUGUCUGACGUGAAAUCCCUCGGCUUAACUGGGGAAGUGCAUCAGAAACUGCUUCACUCGAGUGCAGGAGAGGGUAGCGGAAUUCUCAGAGUAGAGGUGAAAUUCGUAGAUACUGAGAGGAACACCUGUGGCGAAGGCGGCUACCUGGCCUGUUACUGACGCUGAUACGCGAAAGCGUGGGUAGCAAACAGG